UCAUCAGCCUGUUUCGAACGUGUGAGCGGCGCGACAUAUGUUUAUCUGCCGCUUUUCGUCGCUAUCAGAUUAACCAGAGCGUAUUAUGCGCUUAGGUUGCCUUUUCAGGCGGAAUCGAUCUCUCCUGACUGCUCUCAACAGCACAGCGGGUGGAAGUCUGCAUACAACUAGGUGUGUCUCUACCGGUCUGCCCUCGAAGAUGCCGCUGAAGUUCGCUGCGAACAUCUCGACCAUGUUCACGCAGGCUCCGCUGCUGACGCGCUACCGCGUGGCCCAGUCGCUCGGGUUCAAAGCCGUCGAAUGCCAAUUUCCCUACGACGUCGGCGUCGACAACAUCCGUAGUGAAAAAGAGACCUGCGGUCUGGAGCAUGUGCUCAUUAACUCAUAUCCAGGUGACCUGACUAAAGGUGAAAUGGGCUUCGCUGCAAAGCCAGGUUGUGAAUCUGAAUUCCUCAGCAGCUUGGAGACUACGAUAAAAUAUGCCAAGGCCUUGAACUGCAGGAAGAUACACAUCAUGGCAGGCAUCACAGGCACAGAUCGUAGCGGCAUUACGGAGGAAACAUACCUCACGAACUUGAUGAAAGCAGCUGAAUUACUUGAAAAGGAAGGAAUUGUAGGUGUCAUAGAGCCCCUGUGCAAGCAGGUUAAACCAGGAUAUUUUCUCAGUAACUAUGAACAAGCUGCACGUUAUGUCACACAGCUGAACCACAAGAACUUGCGGCUACUCUUGGACAUAUUUCACCUUCAGAUGAGCUCGGGCAAUUUGACCAACACUGUCACAAGUGUGUACCCGUUUGUAGGUCACAUACAAGUUUCUCAGGCUCCACGUAGGGAUGAGCUUAAUGCACCUGGUGAAAUAAAUUAUAAAUAUAUUCUUCGCUUAUUUGAAGAGCUUGGCUACACUGACUGGAUAGGCCUUGAGUACACGCCAUCUGGACAAGGUGGUGAUGGAGUUUCAUGGAUAAAAGAAUAUGGCUACGGCCUUUGAGGAAUGGCAGACUUGCCGUAGUUAAGGAAACAAUAUAUUCUUCUGCAAUUUAAUCCUGGGAGGAACCUGUGCAGUUAACCUUGGAGCAAGAGACUGUUCUUAGUGCUGUCUUGGCUGGCCCCAGUGUAUUCUUCACCAGUGGUGCAGGCGCAUCUUGUCAUUACUACCCCAACUAGAUGCAUUUGCCAUGGCGACGACUGGCAUCGCGGCUGCUCGGAUUGGUAGCACUACGCUGGAUUCAUUCACCGGUGUUGGCACUGGCACGGCCCUCGUGGAAGUCAUGAUUUAACGUGCAAUGUGACCACCGUGGGUGAACCAGUGGUGCCGUUGCAAGGUACUGGUGGUGUCCAUGCUGGUGUCCAUGCUGGACGGACGCUUCUACCACAAGCUCGAGCGGGUGGCCUGGCCCGGUUGGUGUGCCGCAGUGACCGUCCCUUUGAUGGCAUCCAACUAGUCCUCUGUGGUGACUUCCUGCAGGUCCCACCAAUCGGAAGGAGGAGCUGGCACUGAUCUUUUGUUUUAAGGUGCUGCCAAAAUUGUCAGUAGCUGGCCCGACGACAUCUGUGACAUGUCGGCUCACCCAUCGCAGAAACGAGACGGAAGCGCGUAGCUAGGACGCCCCCUUUUCUCCGUGUUAUACGUAAUUCGUCUCAUAUAUGUGACCAGCGAUGCAUCCAACCAGCUUCCACGUGACCUGCUUGACGUCUGGGUGCCCAAGCUGUGCAUGGCCGUCUUAGGUGUGCCCCUGUAAGCUUCACAAUGCCGACAUCCGUGGACGUUGUGAGGCAAAGACGGCAUCUCUUGACGACAUCUGCCGAACUGGAACCUCAAGCUUCCACAAGGUCCGAGGAGGCCCAGCAUUCCACCAGUUGAGCCCAAUCAUGCCUCCUUCAAGCACCACAAGGGGUGAUGUCAACACGUUCGUGGCUUCAGUGUUCUACCACUCACCUCACCUAGACACUGGUGACCACUUAACGAACACCACGAAGCAGCAGUGCUCACCGAGGCCCAGAUCUGCACCGAAGGCUACAGCCGAAGUCCUGUACCAAGUCACCACGGCCGAGGAAUGUCUGGAAAUCUCUGGACAGCACUCAGGGAGGAGACAGAAUGCAGGCAGCGUACAAGGUGCCAGUCGCCUCACUGACACGUGGUGACAUAAUCUUGAUUUUAAAGAAACAAAUAAACAGAAAACACCUACACAAA